AUGGCCCUGUCCCCUCUCCUCUUCACCCUCAUUGCUCACUGCACAGGAUCCUGGGCCCAGGCAGUGCUGACUCAGCCACCCUCAGUGUCUGGGGCUCUGGGCCGGAAGAUCACCAUCUUCUGCUCUGGGAGCAGCACCAACAUUGGUGGAGGCUAUAGUGUGCACUGGUACCAGCAGCUCCCAGGAAAUGCCCCCAAACUCCUCAUCUAUGGUAACAGCAAUCGACCCUCAGGAGUCCCCAAUCAAUUCUCUGGAUCUAAGUCUGGUAACUCAGGCUCCCUGAGCAUCACUGGGCUCCAGCUGGAGGAUGAGGCUGAUUAUUAUUGCCAGUCCUAUGAUAACAGCAUCAGAGUUUGCACAGUGCUCUAG